AUACGUAGGGGGCGAGCGUUGUCCGGAAUGAUUGGGCGUAAAGGGCGCGUAGGCGGCUUUGCAAGUCAGUAGUGGAAGUCCAUUUUUCAAGGAUGGAAGUGCUACAGAAACUGCGGAGCUUGAGUGCAGGAGAGGUUAUCGGAAUUCCCGGUGUAGCGGUGAAAUGCGUAGAGAUCGGGAGGAACACCAGUGGCGAAGGCGGGUAACUGGACUGCAACUGACGCUGAGGCGCGAAAGUGUGGGGAGCAAACAGGAUUAGAUACCCUGGUAGUCCACACUGUAAACGAUGAAUGCUAGGUGUAGGAGGUAUCGACCCCUUCUGUGCCGCAGUAAACACAGUAAGCAUUCCGCCUGGGGAGUACGGUCGCAAGAUUAAAACUCAAAGGAAUUGACGGGG
rnacentral:rRNA from 1 species